CUGCAGUCGACGCAACUUUUAAUGAUGCUGCUCGACUAAAGUUUGAGUGCGGACGGGUGAGUUACACGUGGUUACCUGCCAUCAGAGGGGACAACACUUGGAAACAGGUGCUAAUACCGCAUAAUACAGAGAACCACAUGUUCUCUGUGAAAGGCGCUUCUGGUGUCGCUGAUGGAUGGACCCGCGGUGCAUUAGCUAGACGGUGAGGUAACGGCUCACCGUGGCGAUGAUGCAUAGCCGACCUGAGAGGGUGAUCGGCCACAUUGGGACUGAGACACGGCCCAGACUCCUACGGGAGGCAGCAGUAGGGAAUUUUCGGCAAUGGGGGAAACCCUGACCGAGCAAUGCCGCGUGAGUGAUGAAGGAUUUCGGUCUGUAAAGCUCUGUUGUAAGGGAAAAAGGAUGUUAAUAGGGAAUGAUUAAUAUUUGAUGGUACCUUACCAGAAAGCCACGGCUAACUACGUGCCAGCAGCCGCGGUAAUACGUAGGUGGCAAGCGUUAUCCGGAAUUAUUGGGCGUAAAGGGUGCGUAGGCGGUUUAAUAAGUCUGAAGUAAAAGGCAGUGGCUCAACCAUUGUAAGCUUUGGAAACUGUUAGACUAGAGUGCAGGAGAGGCAAAUGGAAUUCCAUGUGUAGCGGUAAAAUGCGUAGAUAUAUGGAGGAACACCAGUGGCGAAGGCGGUUUGCUGGCCUGUAACUGACGCUGAGGCACGAAAGCGUGGGGAGCAAAUAGGAUUAGAUACCCUAGUAGUCCACGCCGUAAACGAUGAGAACUAGGUGUUGGGGAGACUCAGUGCCGCAGUUAACGCAAUAAGUUCUCCGCCUGGGGAGUAUGCACGCAAGUGUGAAACUCAAAGGAAUUGACGG
rnacentral:rRNA from 1 species